CAGCCGCCGCGGGAAUACGUAGGUGGCAAGCGUUGUCCGGAAUUAUUGGGCGUAAAGGGCUCGCAGGCGGUUUCUUAAGUCUGAUGUGAAAGCCCCAGGCUCAACCGGGGAGGGUCAUUGGAAACUGGGAAGCUUGAGUGCAGAAGAGGAGAGUGGAAUUCCACGUGUAGCGGUGAAAUGCGUAGAGAUGUGGAGGAACACCAGUGGCGAAGGCGACUCUCUGGUCUGUAACUGACGCUGAGGAGCGAAAGCGUGGGGAGCGAACAGGAUUAGAGACCCCAGUAGUCCCUGUCUCUUAUAA
rnacentral:rRNA from 1 species